rnacentral:rRNA from 1 species
AUACGUAGGUGACAAGCGUUAUCCGGAUUUACUGGGCGUAAAGGGCGUGUAGGCGGUCUUGCAAGUCAGAAGUGAAAUUCCUGAGCUCAACUCGGGCGCUGCUUCUGAAACUGCAGGACUUGAGUGCUGGAGGGGAUAGCGGAAUUCCUAGUGGAGCGGUAAAAUGCGCAGAUAUUAGGAAGAACACCGGUGGCGAAGGCGGCUUUCUGCAAAGUAACUGACGCUUAGGCGCGAAAGCGUGGGGAGCAAACAGGAUUAGAUACCCGGGUAGUCCACGCCGUAACCGAUGAAUACUAGGUGUAGGGGGUAUCGACUCCCUCUGUGCCGCAGUUAACACAAUAAGUAUUCCGCCUGGGGAGUACGGCCGCAAGGUUGAAACUCAAAUGAAUUGCCGGGG